rnacentral:rRNA from 1 species
CCUACGGGAGGCAGCAGUGAGGAAUAUUGGUCAAUGGGCGAGAGCCUGAACCAGCCAAGUCGCGUGAGGGAGUACUGCCCUAUGGGUUGUAAACCUCUUUUGUCGGGGAGCAAAAGCCGGACGUGUCCGGCUGUGAGAGUACCCGAAGAAAAAGCAUCGGCUAACUCCGUGCCAGCAGCCGCGGUAAUACGGAGGAUGCGAGCGUUAUCCGGAUUUAUUGGGGUUAAAGGGUGCGCAGGCGGAUUUUUAAGUCAGCGGUCAAAUCGUGGGGCUCAACCCCAUCCAGCCGUUGAAACUGGGGAUCUAGAGUGUGCGAGAGGUAUGCGGAAUGCGUGGUGUAGCGGUGAAAUGCAGAGAUAUCACGCAGAACCCCGAUUGCGAAGGCAGCAUACCGGUGCACAACUGACGCUCAGGCACGAAAGCGUGGGUAUCGAACAGGAUUAGAUACCCCUGUAGUC